GCAGUCGUGGCCGAGUGUUUAAGGUGAUGGACUAGAAAUCCAUUGGAACUCCCCGCACAGGUUCGAAUCCUGUCGACUGCG
rnacentral:tRNA from 1 species